CCCUCCCUCCUCCAAGCCCAGAUCUGCGCGAAGGGAGCGCCCCCAGGAGGGGGACCGACUCGCUCCCCGCCUGGCAGCUCAGCUCUCGGCAGCCCCGGGAGCCCGACCCUGCUCCCCCACCUGACUCCACUGGGUCCGGUUUCCCUUUCCCACCACCGUGGGAGCCUGGCUUCAGAGGGGACGGGUGCGAUGGAAGGUGGGGGCAGGCUCCUCACGCGGCCACCCCUGGCUGCCUGCCUGGAAAGGCCCCUUGCACAGGCCAGGCCAUCUCAGAAAUUAUCACUGGCAGGAGGUGGCAGACACUGGUGCCCAGGGCUGUGCGUCCCCAGGCAGGUGGGAGGUCGAGUAUCCGGGAAGGGAACCCUGUGGGCUUCUCCUGCCUCUGGACACCUCUGCAGUCAACCAAUUGAGCAGCCUCACCGAGGAGACGCCUCACCCCGCCUCUUAAUUAUCAAUGUGAAGUUGCCUGGAUGAAGACCAGUGACUCCCGUAGUUCCACACUUCGUCUUGGGCUGGGGGUCCCCUGAGUGGUCUCUCCUCCCCCGUGAAUGCCAGAUAGGCAGGUGAAGGAUGACAGGGCUCAGAAGGGCCACCUACCUCGGCCCCUGCCGCGCUGUCACAUCUCAACCAGCUGUUGAAGUCCGUGCACAGAGGCAGCAGGGCCUCCAGGUCCCAGCUUCUGAGGCUCCUUGGGAACCACACUGCCCAGCUCAUCCUGCUGGCUGUCUCACCUCCUCCCCUGGUUGCAUCCCACCCACAGCUGCGCUCCUGCCCCUCCUGGAAACCCCUCUUUGUUUAUUUGGAGAUGUGUUCCCCACCCGCCAGCCUGUCUCCUGCCCUGAGUCCUUCUCGGCUGGUCCCCCUCACUGAUCCCUCCCAGCCUGCCUUUGUGUCACCCUGCUCGCACUCUCUAUUCUUAGCCUCCACUCUUUCAUGCUCCCAGAGGCCGGCCCUUUCAGAGCAUCUCUUCACUUUCUGUGUUCUCCUUCCCUCCGACCACUGUUCCCAUUUCUCCAGCUCCACUGUCUUUCCCCCUCCCUCCAGGCCCUGGUGUGUGCUGUUCAUCUCGAGUCAGACCUACGUAAUUGUCCACAGGUUGUUUGGACUUGAAACACCGUUGCUCUCACAUCUGCAUGCACACAGUAGGUGCUCAAUAAAUGGGCAUCCCUUUGGUCUCUUCUACCCAGAACUCUUUAUUAGAACGCCCUUUCUUCUCCCAGCAUAUCAUCUCCUCUUUCUGGUCUCACUUCCACCUAAUCUCCAAUUCUUCCUUCCUUCAAUACAUCUCUGUGUGUCCCUGUGCCAGGCACUCUGCUAGGCUCUGAGAACACAUUGAAAUCGCCAUCAGUGAUUAUUGAGCACUUGCUGUGUGCCAUGAUUCUGCUUUUAGGUCUUCACAACAAUCAGAUGCUGAUGCAAGCCCCAUUUACAAAUGAGGAAACUGAGGCACAGGAUGUUGAAACACCAAGAAGACACAUCAGAUUGAAACAGGACACUUUGGUCUGGGAGAAAGUAAGCUGGGAUUUCUGCUGCAGUGUGGCAGAUGCAGCAAGAGACAUUGUGGUGUGAUAGAGGAAGAACGGGUAGAGCUGGACUCUGAGCACAGCUCUGCCCCACACAGUCUGGAUGAUGCAUCCCACAAGCCCCUUCUCCCAAAAUGCAGAUAAAAUGAGGCAAUUUUGACAGUGGCAUUUGGCAACCCUAUGCCAUGUGUCAAGCCUGUGUCGACACGUGUCA